AUGUAGGGUAUAACUGUAUAUUUCAGGGUUUAAGCCUCAACGAGUUUUGGAUUGUUCUUCUUAGAUCUGCAUCUACUAAUACCAAGCAUCAAUGGAUAAUUCUUUUCAAUCUCGAUUUUGCUUUCUGUUUUUCGAUCCCGUUUCUCUUAUUGAUUUUAAGUUUCAUUUCCGAUCCAUUUGAGUAAGACUGGUGCAGGACCACCAGUUUUGUUCAAUUUCAUCUCAUUCAUGUAAGACUGAUGCAAGAUCAUCAGAAUUGUUCAAUUUUACUAUCUUGUAAGACUUGUGCAAAGAUCACUAGCAUUAUUUUCUGAUCUGUUUUCACUGGGAUCGAUUCGAUUUGGUUAUUCUGGAUUUUCAAUAUAAAUUUUCAUUGAUAGUUCAUCUCUUGAUUCAGAAUUUUGUUUUCAAUUAUCUGUAAUAAUAGGAUGUUGUCACACUAGAUGAUCCAGCUAAUCUUGGUUCAGAAUUUUGUUUUCAAUUAUCUGUACUCAAUCGCUCUUCAACAUCUAAUAUGUGUUUCGUCACUUUAUAUUUUCUCAAAUUUAAUUCUUCUUUGCUGCUUGGUUUAAGAAUGUGGUUGAUUUUGGAUAUUAGUAUUGAUGAUGUAUUGUUUCUCUCAUGAUACAAGUGAUUUUCAUUUCACUUAGAAAACUCUGUAUCUUAUGCAAGACCUGGUUCUGCAACAACAAAUAUUUCUGCUGUGUAGAAAAUGUUACUGGAGCUUUUGGUAUUGGCUGGUUUCCUAUGCAACGAUUUGCAAUGAGUGGUCAGCUGACUCAACAAGAAUCUGGGAUGUUGCACAUGGCUCUUUUAAGGUUUUGAAUUGUCCAUCUGGCGCCCUAGAUAAUCUGUCCAAUGCCAUUUCUCAACUUGUAUGGAAUCCUGAUGGAACGUUGCUUGCCACAGCUUCCCAUACUGCAAAAGCCAAUAUCUGGUCUAUCACAGGGGAUGUAAAACACUCGAUCGAUGGACAUCAAGGGAGCAUCAUGUAAAACUACCUUCUGUGUUCCAUUUUUAAUCCCAAAGCUGCUUUCACUUCCCUAGCAUCUUUUACAUCCAUGACCUAUAUAUGAGAAGAAAUUGGUUUAUUCGAAGUAUGUCUGCUUGUGCUCAUCUUAGAUCUUCUUGAGCUAGUUCUGCAAUUCACUUUUCACAGAAUGCUUGGCUUCUUUUGGGCUACUCUAUGGCCUGCCAAUGGGAUGUCCACGGGAGAGGCGAAGAGUUGUGUGCUGCAAAAUGGAACACAGAAGGUAGUUUGUUAGCUGCUGGGUUUAAUUUCGGAAAGGUUAAAGUUUGGAGUAUGGCUAAAGAAGACUGUCCCGUUCACAGCUAAGAGAAGCAUUCCAAUGUUAUACUUGAUAUUGGUUGGAGUCCUAAUUCCACUUCGCUCGCAAGUGGAUCAGCUGAUCAGAGCCUCAAGCUAUGGAAUAUAGAAUAUGGGAAAGAAGUCACUAGCCUUUACCAUCCUAGAGGGCUAGUAAAAGCAUUAGCUUCGAACCUCAUGGGUUGUACAUUUUGACUGUUUCGUCGAAGAUUCUGAGUGUUGUGUUUGUCAAGGGAGGAAAGGUCAUGAAGACAUUUGAAGCGGAGGGUGAAGUUUGUCAAGCUUCUUGGAACAAUGAUGGUUCCAAAAUUGCUGUGUGUUCCGAAGAUUAGUAAAAAUCUUUGUCAUUGACAUGAACUUCUAGGUUCAUAGUCAGAUUUUAAGAACUUUUGAUUGGGUGUUUUUUUCUUUCUUCUGGGUACUCCUAAAGCAAAACAUUUACUAACUUACAUCAUGUUUGUUUUUUCCA